rnacentral:misc_RNA from 1 species
GUAUGGGAAGCGUGUCCACAUACUCCCUAUUGAUGAUACAAUAGAAGGUCUCACAGGGGAUUUGUUUGAUGCAUUCCUUAAACCUUACUUUUUGGAGGCAUAUCGUCCAUUGAGGAAGGGAGACAAUUUUCUUGUUAGAGGAGGGAUGAGAAGUGUGGAAUUCAAGGUCAUAGAAGCUGACCCUGGGGAGUAUUGUGUUGUUGCUCCAGACACUGAAAUCUUUUGUGAG